rnacentral:rRNA from 1 species
UACGGAGGGUGCAAGCGUUGUUCGGAUUUACUGGGCGUAAAGCGCGCGCAGGUGGAUAAACAAGUCGGAAGUGAAAUCUUGAGGCUCAACCUCGAGGCUGCUCCCGAAACUGUUUGUCUAGGGACUGGUAGAGGCUGGUAGAAUUCCCGGUGUAGCGGUGGAAUGCGUAGAGAUCGGGAAGAAUACCUGUGGCGAAGGCGGCCAGCUGGGCCAGAUCCGACACUGAGGCGCGAAAGCGUGGGGAGCAAACAGG